CCUAGGGCGGCUGCAGUGAGGAAUAUUGGUCAACGGACGAGAGUCUGAACCAGCCAAGUAGCGUGAAGGAUGACUGCCCUAUGGGUUGUAAACUUCUUUUAUAUGGGAGCAAAGUCACCCACGUGUGGGUGUUGGAGAGUACCUGAAGAAAAAGCAUCGGCUAACUCCGUGCCAGCAGCCGCGGUAAUACGGAGGAUGCGAGCGUUAUCCGGAUUUAUUGGGUUUAAAGGGUGCGUAGGCGGGUUAUCAAGUCAGCGGUAAAAUCGUGGAGCUCAACUCCAUCCAGCCGUUGAAACUGAUGAUCUUGAGUGGGCGAGAAGUAUGCGGAAUGCGUGGUGUAGCGGUGAAAUGCAUAGAUAUCACGCAGAACUCCGAUUGCGAAGGCAGCAUACCGGCGCCCGACUGACGCUGAAGCACGAAAGCGUGGGUAUCGAACAGGAUUAGAUACCCGUGUAGUC
rnacentral:rRNA from 1 species